AGUUUUGAUACAGGUGCCACACGCAUCAUACAGGAUGUAGCAGAUGGGAAGGAACUGUUGACUUUAAGCAGACUCUUGAUGGGUAGCACCAAACAAACUGCAGCAAGGCUGCUAUUAGUUAUACUGCACUGCAGCAUACAGUUUUCACUUCUGGCUUCUGGGACUAGAGCACUGCAGCUACACUGCAGGUUAACCAUGGUAGAGACAAAUAAGCAUUUUGUUUGUUUUGUUUCUUGUCUUCCAGCUUGUCUUCCAGGCUAGCAUUUACAGAUUUCCAGUUUAUCACAGAACUGACUAUUAUUAGGGAUGUUAAUAAAAGUUCUGAUGCAAUCUUUUGAAUACUAGGAGUAAAAGAAAAGUUUAGAAAUGACAUUGAAAAGGGAAACUCCUCCAAACUCAACAACACUUCUGUGAGUGACCACUCUUCAGUUUCUCCACAGAAAUUCAUCCUGGUGUGCACAUCACAGGGAGCUCUGAUGAAGUAUGUUCCAGGAACAUGACCCUCCUGAGGUUAGAAACAGGAGAUGCUGAAGUCGGAUCUGAUGUGACUGCGGGGAGAGGACGAAAUCUGCAAGAACUAAAGGUGUCUGUAAACAUAGGUGAGUAUCCAUCCAUGUGGGCAAGAGGAAGCACACAGAUCCCCGAGGCUCAGGAGACCUUUGGGAGCCAAAAUUUCUCUCUGACUUUUCCCAGCACAGACUGCAACAGAAGAGAUGUUAAAGGAAGAAUUAACAGUGAUUAAACAAGAGAGGAGCUGAUUGGGAGUGAAUGCAGUCAAGGACUGUUUACACAACAUCUGAUUAUUCUGGUACCCAAGAAAGGUAUUAGUAGUGGUAGAAAAGAACUUUUUUCACAGGAGAUUAUAUGGAGUAAAUGCAGAUGCCCUUCAAGAGCACAUAUUACUUUAUUUACACCAGUACUGAAUUCAGUUCAUGGCUCCUUGCCCCAUAGGAAUUUUGGUCCAGCCUUCACUUUAAUGAACCUGGCCCACGCAGGAGAGCGACCUGGAAAAAUUUCUAUUUACUUGUAGUAAAGUGCUUCCAAGCCAUGUAAUCUUCAUUGCCUGACAAUGUGUUCUCCUACUGCAAUAACCAGUGACCUUGGAAUGAUUUGAACUGUAAAUAACUUCUGGGGCUUAUCAGACAAGGAACAGCAUAGAGAAUAGUAAAACAGUUACUGUACUUGAUACUCUGAGAACUCACCAUUAGUCUCACCUACAGUGAGGCAACUACCUCUCCAUGAAAAAUAACAGCAACUCCCUUCUCUGCGACAAGGAUCCAUGCUUUGUGAACAGAUGGUGCUCCUUUGCGUGCCAAGAAUUCUGCAGCUCACUAUUUAUUAAAUUGGACAAAGAAGACCGUAAUAAGACCAGUUCUCAGGCAUUUCACAGGAGCUGUGAGGCAUGCAUUGUUACGCUGAACUCCCAUUUACUCUGAGGACAUUUUACACUUCUGAGGAUGAAGUCUGGACGUGACAAAAUCAGUCCCACUGAUUUUUCCUUUAGCUGAUUUUUUUUUGAACCCUGACUCUAGUUUAUUCCCUUUUUCCUUUUUAUUUAACUAACUUCUGGAAGAUAAGAGCAAUUGCUUUAUUAGGCCACCAAUGCAGAUUGUGUUAGUAUCUAAAGCUGGUUAGAGAGAGGAAGCACUACUGCUUUGUCUUCAUGCUCUUCUGGUGUCUCCUUUGAGUCCCUCCUGUGACCUAGUUACACAGUUCUUCAUGAUUGCUUUACUUUCUCUUACUUUAAGUGCUCAUACUCCUCUGUCUUCAACAAUGACAUGCCAAUAGCUUCCAGCAAAGAGGAGAGCAGACUUUCUAGCUUUCUCUUGACUCAUCUCUCCACUGCAAACCAAUAUGCUAAAGCCCAGGACAACCCAAUGUGGUUCAGGAUGUUCGCUGUUUUACAGGGUGGACCUGAGAUCUUUAGAUGUGUGGUAUUUCUCAGCCUAGAUGCUGAUGUAUUGAUCUUCUCAAUUUCAAUCACCUUUUCAUCCCUGUAAUAUACUGCAAUAUUAUGAUCUCCACAAAAAAAGAGGCCAAACUGAGCUAAUCUCUGUGAAGUUGCUGUUUCCGCAAAGAACAAUCCCUGCUAUUGAUUUUGGCUAUUUGAUAUUUCUGUGUUUUAGAGAGCGCUCUGAAAGGAAAGUAUGACCCUCAAAUAGGAGUUUACAGCACUUCAUAAAGGCCUAAAGUACUUGACAAACGCAGUUAUGUAUAACCUGUAAUCACCAUCUACACAGGAAGCCUACUCUGCCCCUAGUUGUGAAAGAGCAUGUACAGUGUUUCUGCACAAAUGCCUGCAAUUGCAGUAGCAAGGCUCCUGAGAAAAGCAGCUAAGGGCCACAGGUACUAGAACUUGGACUGUUGUAUUUACUGCCAAAAGACUGAAGUUAUCUGACAGCAGCACACAUCAUUUUUUUCUGCAUUCACUGUUUAAGCUUCUCAACUUUUGUCGUCCUUUUUUUUUUUUUUUUAUUAAAGAAAAACUCUGCAUUGUGUUACCUUAAGUAGCAGACUUUAUCUUCACUUUGAAGACUGAAAAUGGAUUUCAUCUUACAUACAUCUUACAUUCAUCCUUGGACAACUUAACUCCUAAAGUAAAUGGAUUCCAAGCCCUCAGAGAUCAGAGUAGCUAAGAAAAUGUUAGUAUAGGGAAGUUGUUCAAUGGUCAAAGUCCUAUAUUUACAAGCCAUAGGAUCCUGCAUAAUCAAAUCACGUUUCUUUACAGUUCGUUCUAAAGUCACUUUCGGCAGCUGGGUAGAGAAACCACAGAACUUGUUCAUUGAAAUUCCAGUGUCUCCAGAAAUGGGAUACAGCACUGGGAGAGGAAAGAGAAGAGAAACAGCCCAGUUCCAAUUCACGACUAAAGCAUAGACAGAACGUGAGACAGUGCACUGGACAAAUGCUUGUUAAAAUGAAAAGAAAAAAAAAAGUAUUGGGAUAUUGGCAGGGUGGUGUGCAGAUGAGGAACCAAAUCUUCCAAGUAGGACAAUGGGUCACAGUCCAGCAGCAGUAGGGGUAUUUAUUGCAAGGGUCUUUGGAGAAGUGUCUU